GGAAUAUUGCGCAAUGGGGGAAACCCUGACGCAGCAACGCCGCGUGAGUGAAGAAGUAUUUCGGUAUGUAAAGCUCUAUCAGCAGGGACGAAAAUGACGGUACCUGCAGAAGAAGUCCCGGCUAACUACGUGCCAGCAGCCGCGGUAAUACGUAGGGGACAAGCGUUAUCCGGAUUUACUGGGUGUAAAGGGAGCGUAGGCGGCAAAGCAAGUCAGAAGUGAAAGCCCGCGGCUCAACUGCGGGACUGCUUUUGAAACUGUUUAGCUAGAGUACUGGAGGGGCAAGCGGAAUUCCUGGUGUAGCGGUGAAAUGCGUAGAUAUCAGGAAGAACACCGGAGGCGAAGGCGGCUUGCUGGACAGAUACUGACGCUGAGGCUCGAAGGCGUGGGGAGCAAACA
rnacentral:rRNA from 1 species